AUUGAACGCUGGCGGUAUGCUUAACACAUGCAAGUCGAACGGUAACAGGCCUUCGGGCGCUGACGAGUGGCGGACGGGUGAGUAACGCGUAGGAAUCUGCCUCAUAGUGGGGGACAACGUGGGGAAACUCACGCUAAUACCGCAUACGCCCUACGGGGAAAGCGGGGGAGUCUUCGGACCUCGCGCUAUGAGAUGAGCCUGCGUUAGAUUAGCUAGUUGGUAGGGUAAAGGCCUACCAAGGCGACGAUCUAUAGCUGGUCUGAGAGGACGAUCAGCCACACUGGGACUGAGACACGGCCCAGACUCCUACGGGAGGCAGCAGUGGGGAAUAUUGGACAAUGGGCGCAAGCCUGAUCCAGCAAUACCGCGUGUGUGAAGAAGGCCCUAGGGUUGUAAAGCACUUUCAAUU
rnacentral:rRNA from 1 species